AGAACGAACGCUGGCGGCAGGCCUCAAACAUGCAAGUCUAGGGGGUGUAGCAAUACAUCACCGGCGGACGGGUGCGUAACACGUGGGAAUAUACCUUUUGGUUCGGAACAAUGCAGGGAAACUUGCGCUAAUACCGAAUGUGCCCUUACGGGGAAAGAUUUAUCGCCAAAGGAUUAGCCCGCGUAGGAUUAGCUAGUUGGUGAGGUAAUGGCUCACUAAGGCUCCGAUCCUUAGCUGUUCUGAGAGGAAGAUCAGCCACACUGGGACUGAGACACGGCCCAGACUCCUACGGGAGGCAGCAGUUGGGAAUCUUGGACAAUGGGGGAAACCCUGAUCCAGCCAUGCCGCGUGAGUGAUGAAGGCCUUCGGGUUGUAAACUCUUUCGACGGGACGAUAAUGACGGUACCCGUAGAAGAGCUCCGGCUAACUUCGCGCCAGCAGCCGC
rnacentral:rRNA from 1 species